rnacentral:rRNA from 1 species
CGGACGAACGCUGGCGGCGUGCCUAACACAUGCAAGUCGAACGGUCCGGCACUCAGCCGACCCUCAGUCUAACUGUAGGGGAAGUUGAGUGCCGGGUAGUGGCGGACGGGUGAGUAACGCGUGGGCAACCAACCCUGUACAGUGGGAUAACACCGGGAAACCGGUGCUAAUACCGCAUGACACCUAUAUGGUGCAUACCGUAUAGGUUAAAGGAUUUAACCGGUACAGGACGGGCCCGCGUCCCAUUAGCUAGUUGGUGAGGUAACGGCCCACCAAGGCGACGAUGGGUAGCCGACCUGAGAGGGUGACCGGCCACACUGGGACUGAGACACGGCCCAGACUCCUACGGGAGGCAGCAGUGGGGAAUAUUGCGCAAUGGGGGGAACCCUGACGCAGCGACGCCGCGUGAGCGACGAAGGCCUUCGGGUCGUAAAGCUCUGUCUAGGGGGAAGAGGAAGGACGGUACCUCUGGAGGAAGCCACGGCUAACUACGUG